GGAUCGAUGAUGAUUCCCUCAAUCUGCAUUCCUUGGAAAAGCUGAACAAAAUGAGUGAGAACUCCCUACCGUCGUUCUCAUCGAAACUGAGGUCC
rnacentral:snoRNA from 1 species